rnacentral:rRNA from 1 species
UACGAAGGGUGCAAGCGUUACUCGGAAUUACUGGGCGUAAAGCGUGCGUAGGCGGUUUGUUAAGUCUGUCGUGAAAGCCCCGGGCUCAACCUGGGAAUGGCGAUGGAUACUGGCGAGCUAGAGUACGGUAGAGGAGAGUGGAACUCCGAGUGUAGAGGUGAAAUUCGUAGAUAUUCGCAAGAACACCAGUGGCGAAGGCGGCUCACUGGCCCAUUACUGACGCUGAGGCACGAAAGCGUGGGGAGCAAACAGG